rnacentral:rRNA from 1 species
UUUUAUAGCACGUANUGACGGANUCCAGACCCGGUUUUACCCAUAAUUUUUAUCAAGGUUGACCUCGGAUCAGAUAGGAGUACCCGCUGAACUUAAGCAUAUCAAUAAGCGGAGGAAAAGAAACCAACAGGGAUUGCCUCAGUAACGGCGAGUGAAGCGGCAACAGCUCAAAUUUGAAAUCUGGCCUUUUAGGUCCGAGUUGUAAUUUGUAGAGGAUGUUUUGGGUACCGCAGCCAUUUAAAUUUCUUGGAACAGAAUGUCAGAGAGGGUGAGAGUCCCGUCUGGAAUGGCAGUAGGGCCUAUGUAAAACUUCUUCGACGAGUCGAGUUGUUUGGGAAUGCAGCUCAAAAUGGGUGGUAAAUUUCAUCUAAAGCUAAAUAUUGGCCAGAGACCGAUAGCGCACAAGUAGAGUGAUCGAAAGAUGAAAAGCACUUUGAAAAGAGAGUUAAACAGUAUGUGAAAUUGUUGAAAGGGAAGCGCUUGCAACCAGACUUGAGUGUAAUGGUUCCCCCUUGUUUUUGCUUGGGCUACUCCAUUAUAUCCAGGCCAACAUCGGUUUUAAGGGCUGGUUAAAGGCCGUAGGAAUGUAUCUUCCUCCGGGAAGACUUAUAGCCUAGGGUGUCAUGCAGCCUCCUAGGACCGAGGAAUGCGCUUCGGCGAGGAUGUUGGCGUAAUGGUUGUAAGCGACC